GGAGAGGUGGCAGAGCUCGGUUUAAUGCGCUGGUCUUGAAAACCAGAGACGGGGCGACUCGUCCGGGGGUUCGAAUCCCUCCCUCUCCGCCA
rnacentral:tRNA from 2 species